CCUAGAGUGGUGUAGUGGUAACACGCCAAGGUGACAGUUAGGUCCUUCUUCACUGAGGGCUUAAUCCCUCCGGGGGCGGAGUCCCAGGUUCAAUCCCUGGCUCUAGGG